CUCCAUCCCCGCCUCUUAUCCCUUCCCUUCCCUCCUCAGACCCCGGAGUGACGCGACGGAUGGGUGCUGGGCCUGGGGGGAUGGAGGUUCUGCUUUCCCAGGCCCGCCCCAGGAGGAGACGGCCACCUUCUCUAGGUCUGCAGACUGUGCUGAGACCCCCACCCUCUUGUCUCCCUGGCCAUGUACUUCUCUGUCCCAGAGACCCUCCCCCCGACACAGGCACAGACACUCACCUGAGGCCAUACUGCCGGAACCCGGAGGGGCGGGAGACGGACCUCGACGGACCUCUGCCGCUGAACUAGCCUCGAAGACCCCAGGGAGUCCCGACUUCCAGCUGUCUGCUCAGGAGGCGAGCAGGCCACGUGCUCCCCAGAGAGCAGGACCCGGAACUCGUCUGUGCUUCUCUCAACACUCUCUGGGUGUUCAGGAUCGGACUAUCGUAGCUGGACUGUGGUGGAGUCACGCAACAGGUGCGACCCCACCGAAGCCUAGCCAGCGCCUCAGGGCGUCUCAGCAGCCCCAGGCCCCGCUGUGCCCGAGGCCCCGCCCCCUCCGGGCAGGCCCCGCCCCCGCCGUGUUCCUCUUCCCCUCGCCACGUGGGCAGCCGCCACUCCGCAGUUAGCCAGGCGGGUCUUGGGCAAGCGUUGUGCGUCAGCUUCCUCAUCAGUGAAAUGGGGCGGUGUAAUUGCACUCAAGGGAGUUGUUCUGAGCAUGAAACGUUAAGCACCUUUGCACGAUGCCUGGCACAAAGUCGAUGGCCCAUAAAAGAUAACUAGUAUUGUCUCAGGACUCAUUCAUUUUGUUUUUUAAGAUUUUAUUUUUAAGUAAUCUCUACACCAAAGGUAGGGCUCGAACUCACAACCCCAAGAUCAAGAGCCACAAGCUCCACCAACUGAGCCAGCCAGGCACCCCCAUUCAUUCACUUUUAGAAGUCAUUCCUGGGCAUUCUCAUUCCGGGUCCUCUGCUUUCUUCUGGCAGGCAUAGAUAAACAGGGUGUGUCCUGCAAUCCAGGCUCUCCUUCCUACAUUUACUUACGUAUUUAUUGGUUAAAAGCUUAGGCUCUGUAGCCAGAAUGCCUGGGUUCAAUUCCAGACUCUUCCACCUACUUUGUGAUUGACGGGGAAGUUACUGGACUCUCUGUGCUCCUAUUUCCUCUGGAAAAUGACUGUAAGAGACCCUGCUUUGUAUAGUGGUCGUUAGGAUAAAUGAGUUAAUAUAAAUUAAGUGCUUAGAGCAGUGCCUGGCCUGUAGUUACUACUCAGUUAUUGUCUGCAUCUUAUCAUUGCUAUGUCCUUGUCCUUGGUUCCCUGUUGACAACCUCAUAUGGUGAUGAUUCUCUUGGCGGCCUAGAAAGAAGUGGAGUUGGGAUGUUUGGAGAACUGCAGACACCCCACCCAGCCAGCACCCCCACUCCCAAGUAACACAGAAUCCUACCUAAAGGGAAUGGGGGGGAAGGGGGGGGAGCUAAGACUUCACUAAACAUAAUCAAGUGUAUUAGCAGUAAUUAAUCUUUUCCCUAUUUCUCCACCUGUGGGAGCCCUUUGUUCCCCACACCCAGUUGUAUUAAUGCUGUUUGUCCAGCUCCUCCCAGUUCUCCCCUACAGCCAAAUUCCUUCCCAAACUCUGCCUCCCCCACCUCUCCCCAAGCUGGAUUCUGGACCCUGGACCCUACUAUCUGUGUGUAUCUGGUGUCACAUCUAUUGAUCUCUGCCUGCUGCUCCUCCUUACCCUGGGCAAACUCAAAAAACUAUGGCCUCCAUAAACAUGGCGGUGGGGGAAUUCACCUCACAAAGAAGCAAUCAAACCAAUAAAACAAAGGAAAUAACGAUGUUUACCCAUCAACUUAGCAAAGAUUAAGGGGAAAAAAUCCUAAUACACGCAAGGGUGUAGUGAGAUGGGACACACAUACACUACUGGACACGAACAUCAACAUAAUCUUUCUGAAAGCCAUUUGGUAAUACAUAAUCAAGAGUCUUUCCAAAGUUCCUAUUAUUUAACCUAGUAAUUCCACUUUCAGGAAAUUGUUCUUCUAAAGAGCUGCCAGAAAAAUAUGCACGAAUUUGUUCAUCACUGCAAUGUUUAUCAUAUAGAAAGGCUGGAAACAUAAAGGUCCAACAAUAGGGAAAUGUUUAAAUUUUGUCAUAUGCAUGCAAUGAAAUACAACAAUUAAAAAUUGUUCUUGGAGAAUUUCUUAAUGAGGUGGAAAUGUUUACAAUGUAAAGCUUGGUUUCAAAAAAA